rnacentral:rRNA from 1 species
UACGUAGGGGGGCAAGCGUUGUCCGGAAUCAUUGGGCGUAAAGAGCUCGUAGGCGGUUCGUCACGUCGGCUGUGAAAUCCCGAGGCUCAACCUCGGGUCUGCAGUCGAUACGGGCGGACUUGAGUACUGCAGGGGAGACUGGAAUUCCUGGUGUAGCGGUGAAAUGCGCAGAUAUCAGGAGGAACACCGGUGGCGAAGGCGGUUCUCUGGGCCAUUACUGACACUGAGAAGCGAAAGCAUGGGGAGCGAACAGG